rnacentral:rRNA from 1 species
AUUAUACCGCGAAACUGCGAAUGGCUCAUUAUAUAAGUUAUCGUUUAUUUGAUAAUACUUUACUACUUGGAUAACCGUGGUAAUUCUAGAGCUAAUACAUGCUAAAAAUCCCGACUUCGGAAGGGUUGUAUUUAUUAGAUUAAAAACCAAUGCCCCUCGGGGCUCUCUGGUGAAUCAUAAUAACUAGUCGAAUCGACAGGCCUUGUGCCGGCGAUGGCUCAUUCAAAUUUCUUCCCUAUCAACUUUCGAUGUUUGGGUCUUGUCCAAACAUGGUGGCAACGGGUAACGGAGGGUUAGGGCUCGACCCCGGAGAAGGAGCCUGAGAAACGGCUACUACAUCCAAGGAAGGCAGCAGGCGCGCAAAUUACCCAAUCCCGACACGGGGAGGUAGUGACAAUAAAUACUGAUACAGGGCUCUUUUGGGUCUUGUAAUCGGAAUGAGUACAAUUUAAAUCCCUUAACGAGGAACAAUUGGAGGGCAAGUCUGGUGCCAGCAGCCGCGGUAAUUCCAGCUCCAAUAGCGUAUAUUAAAGUUGUUGUGGUUAAAAAGCUCGUAGUUGAACCUUGGGCCUGGCUGGCCGGUCCGCCUCACCGCGUGCACUGGUCCGGCCGGGCCUUUCCCUCUGCGGAACCCCAUGCCCUUCACUGGGUGUGGCGGGGAAACAGGACAUUUACUGUGAAAAAAUUAGAGUGCUCAAGGCAGGCCUAUGCUCGAAUACAUUAGCAUGGAAUAAUAGAAUAGGACGUGUGGUUCUAUUUUGUUGGUUUCUAGGACCGCCGUAAUGAUUAAUAGGGACAGUCGGGGGCAUCAGUAUUCAAUUGUCAGAGGUGAAAUUCUUGGAUUUAUUGAAGACUAACUACUGCGAAAGCAUUUGCCAAGGAUGUUUUCAUUAAUCAGGAACGAAAGUUAGGGGAUCGAAGACGAUCAGAUACCGUCGUAGUCUUAACCAUAAACUAUGCCGACUAGGGAUCGGACGAUGUUACAUUUUUGACGCGUUCGGCACCUUACGAGAAAUCAAAAGUGCUUGGG